GCCCUCCGCAGAGCCCUCCCACCCGGCACGACCCGCCCGCCUCCCGCCAGCCUGCAGUUGACGUGGAGCAGGCGGCAUAAAUCAAGUCCGCGGGGCAUGGAGGCUGCUGUCGCUGCAGCAGCUCAGCUUGCCCGGGGCGGGAACUCCCCCUUUCUCCUUUCGCCUCCCCAGCACCCACACCCUGUCUCCCCCUUAAUUCUUCCCUGGAUAAUAGCACCCUAACGACAACAGUCAUAAUAAUAGGGUUAGAACGACAGGGGAGGAAAACUCAACAGCCUAAAUAUCUCUGAAAACUGCAUCGCAAAAUGGAAGAAAGAGGGGGUCCCACUACUGUUUCAAAAGAGAGCCAUGGAAGUCAAAUGCUGAGGAUGGUGGCAUCAUAGGAUGAAUGGAGCUGGGUUCUUGAAACACUGCCUGGAGGAAAGACAGCAAAAAUGCCUCAUGAAUCCAACUGGACUGUUAGGAUGCUCACCCUUGGAGACCAGCAACAAUGUGUGCAGAAACCCAGGCCAUGUGGAGAGGCCCCACAUACGUGUCCAACUGAGGUCCCAGCUGACAGCUGGCAUUGACAUAAUGUUCACUCUGGGGGAAGCCAGCUGCCACGCUGUAAGGACACUCGGGCAGUCCUAUGAAGAGGCCCGUGUGGUGAGAAAGAGAGGCCUCCAGCCAACAGCCAUAGAUGGGGUCUUGCUAUGUUUCCCAGUUGGAGUGCAGUGAUUAUUCACAGACAUGAUCCCACUACUGAUCAGCAUGGGAGUUUUCACCUGCUCCAUUUCCCACCUGGGAGGUCAUCAUAUUGAUGGCGAGCUAAGUGUGGACACCUGAUCAGCAUAGCACAGUACAGCCCAGAACCCCUGGGCUCCAGUGAUCCUCUUACUUCAGCCUCUUGAGUAGCUGGAACUACAGGCCUGCACCACUGCACCCGGCUAGUUUGUUUUUGUUAGAGUUUUGUCUCUAGGAUUUUCCUCAGCUGAGUAUGUGAAGGCUAACUUCUCCUUGUGAAUCUGCAAAUAUCCUUAUUUUACCCUUUAUUUUACCAUGUAUCAUUUACAGGUAAAUGAUAUCUUAGCUGUGUAUUGAAUUUCUGUUUUUUGUUUUUUCUUCAGUACUCUAUAAAUAUUACUCCAGUAUCUUCUAGCUUCUCCCAUUUUCUCCUAGUGAAUGGUUAUUCUGCUCUUAUCUAGCAGGUGAUAAAUCUGUCAACAGAUAGUUUUUCCUUUUUGUUUUAUGUGUAAGUUGUUAUUUCUUCCUUAAAGUUCAUAAUCUUUUCCCAUUUAUUCUCUAAAUUUUAGACUAUAACCAGGAUGUGUUUAGGUUGAUAUCUUUGCUUAUCUAUUCUGCCUGGAAAUCAGGAACCUCUUCCAAUAUUCAGACUUGUGUUUUCAGCUCAGAAUAAUUAUUUUAUCAUUUGUUUGAUUAUUCCUUUAGUUGCACUGGAUCUUAGUUAAAAUGCCCAUUCUGAUUCAAAGUAUCUGGAAGGCAAGUAUUUGUCAACUAAGGGAAAGGUGACCAUGCAUCAUUGGUUUUGCUGAGACUACCUGGUUUACACCUUCAGGCUUUAUACUUAGAAAAUAUUGCGAUCAUCUUCUGGUCAUGAAGUUACAAACUUCAGGACAAAGGCUAACCAGCUAAGACUAGCAGAGCAAAUUCCAAGAACUUGGGGCUUUAAUUAACUUGAAUUGAUUUGGACUUGCCCUACCUUUAACUUCACACUGAGAUAAAAAUUCCCCACAUUUUCAAGCCAUUUUUGAGAUGAGUCUCUUAUGGUUGAAAGCAUCCUAAUUUAUACAACAUCCUUUUGGUACCUAACUAAAUAUUCACCAAUAUUUGGCACAUUUGUUAAAUCUUUUGGUGUGUGCCUCUUCUAUGUAAUGUAAAUAUGGUCUGAAUAUCCAUUCAGAAAUUAUAGUUGAUUUGCAAAAAUAACUACUAUAUCACCUAUAUUAAUUGAUAGUUAUUCCUUCCCAACCUUCUUUCACUCUUCCAUAUAUAUACAGAGUAAAUCUACAUCAUUAUGUUGAUUAAACAAAAUAGCAGUGAAAUCAGGAUGUUACUGCUCAUUGUGCAUUUAUUUCAAUUAUGGAAAAAGCCAACACUUUACUCCCUUAUUUAACACUUCUGUAGAAAAGCAGUUGAAAUAACCUAGUGUCAUUCUAAAAUGAUUUGUAUACUAUGUAGACCAGAAUCUAGGGCUAUACCUAAAAAUACAUAAAUGAAAUUAUUCUAGAAGUUAAAUCUUCAUGAAAAAACAAAUUAAAUGGUUUACUAACCUCAAGCUGAUUAAAUGUUUUUAUUAAAUGCAGCCUCAGCCAGCACCUCUUUUCAUGGCUGCAAUAAUUAAGUAUAAUAAAUAUUCAAAUCAGUAAUUGAAUUUGUUAAAAAAAACAUGCUCAGCUCAGUGAAGACUUUCUAAUAAAUAGAAUUCAGGUACCAUAUUUUCAUACUUCAUGACACUUGCCUCAUCUUAGUUUGAUGACUGCCGUUUCUUGCACUGUAACAAGAUUUUAUUUUUAUUUUGUUUUACGCUAUUCAAACAAAUACAUUCAAAGUCAUAGGCUACACCUAUGUAUAACCAUAUUCUGAGAGUUGGCUUAUGUGUUUGUUUAUUUUCUCACAAUUAAAGAUAGGUCAGAUGUUGCCAAAUUAGUAAAUAACUAAACUUGAGAUGGGAAAUACUCUAGAGACACAAUCUGCUUAGUUUUGCAUAGUUUUGCAUAGUUUUAGUCACUUUUCCCGUUACUCUGUCCAGCUUUCCAGUAAUACUCAUAACAUUGCCUUGAUUUCAUAUGACCACGCAGUAAAGUGAUUACUGCACUUAGAAUUUUGUUGCUUUUGCUGUGCUAACAACUUAAAAGUUUAAAAUAACUGAUGUUCAAAACAGUGAAGAUUUCCUUUUAUAAACAAGUUGGAAAGGAAAGUUUUUAUGUUAUUAUCCUCAAGUAUUCUAACUAAUAUAAAAUGUCUUUCAGUCUUUUAGGCAAACCAUUUAGACAAAAAGUACAAAUAAUAAAUUUACAUUGUGUUAAGCUGCGAUCAUAUUUCUUUCUCUUGAUUUACUUUUGAAAUUUUCCUUAUGCACCUGGUGAUACUGAAAGAUGAGUCAAAUAGUGUAAUACAAUAGGGCAAUAUGAACUUCUGUUGUAGUUUCCAUUAGUUGCAUCAAUUCAAAUUGCACCUGGAAAAGAUCUAAGCACGACAUAAAGCCAAGACAGCACAUAAGGGUGAUGGCAAACAAUAAUAAUAUUUACAUCUUUUUUUUUUUUUUUUUUGGAGACAGAAUCUCACUCUGUCGGCCAGGCUGGAGUGCAGUGGCGUGAUCUCGGCUCACUGCAACCUCCGCCUCCUGGGUUCAAGCGAUUCUCCUGCCUCAGCCUCCUGAGUAGCUGGGACUACAGGGUCCUGCCACGAUGCCCAGCUAAUUUUGGUAUUUUUAGUAGAGACGGGGUUUCACCAUAUUGGCCAGGAUGGUCUCAAACUCCUGACCUUGUGAUCCACCCAAUCUUCAUUGCAUCAUUUAACUUUCAUUGGUAUCACAGUAAUUCACUAACAUUCAUUCCUUACAGGCAGUUAUGAAUAAUUGAAAAAUUUUUAACAUCAUCUCAUGGGCAAAAGAAUAUUUAUUCAUUGGCUUAGCUUAACAAAUCAUUAUUAAACACCUACUGUGUGCCAGGCACUGUUCUAGACACUGGAGUUACAGCAGUGAACAAAAUAAACACGCUCUCCAGUCUGGUGGAGUUCACAUACUGGUGCGGGGAGAGAGAUGCAUACAAACAAAAAUGCAUAUUUAAUACUUCACCAAUUGAUAGGUGCUAUGAAGAAAAAUAAACCAUAGUAAGGAUGACAUAGAGUGCUGGAUGGAGGUUUUAGUACAUAUACGUUAGCCAGAGAAGGCAUCUCUGAGAAGUUGCCAUUUGAGAAAAAGAGGGAGUAGGCUCAGUGGAUUCUGAGGGAAGAAUAAGUUUGAGAUUCUGAGUCAUUCAUGUCCUUGGCAGAUCAAUAAAGAGGAAGCAGAUGCUGUGGCCGGAACUCAGUGUGCAUGUUGGGGCAGUGGUAGGAGGCUAUGGUUGUAAGACAGGGCUACCUCCCAUAGGGUCUUGAAGACCAUAGUAAAGACUGUGGCAUCUCCUCUCCAGUAGUUUGAGCAGAGGAAUGGUAGCAUUCUACUUAGGAUUUAAAAGGUUUGCUCUAGCUGAUUUGUGGAGAAUAGGUUUGUAAGGCAGCAUAGUGAAUGAAAGGAGAAAAGUUAGGCGAUUGCAAACAUCCAGGUGAGAGUUGAUAUCAGACGGUGAUGGUGUCACAGAUGCGUUUCAUGCGAUGGGCUCAAUUAAUGGCCUCCAUGUUUCACCCUUCUCUUUCUUGGGACUGGCUUGCCUGCUGGAAGGUGAGGAAACAGCCUGUCAUCCCAGCUGAGGCCAUCCUAGAUCAGCCAACUGUCAGCUGCUUGUGUGUCAGUGAACCCCAGCCAAGACCGGAAGACCUGCCCAGCUGAGCUCAGCCAAGAUCAGCAAAACCUCUCAGCUUAUAACCUUAUAAACUUACCAAUUUAGGUGUGGUUGUGACACAGAAUUAUUGUAUUAUUGUAUGCAUGGUGAGUAUUGUAUAUUACACAUGGGAAUCAUAGAAACAGUGAAAAGCCAGUAAUUUCUGAGUAUAUAUUAAAGUUAGGGCAAAUUGUGUGAGGUGGAGAAGCCACAUACUCCAAAUUUCUGGCCUGAGACAUUGGAAGAAUGAAUAUGGAUGAUGGAGGUGGAUAUUGAAUCUGAAAUGAAUUUUUCAUUUUGUGAAAUUUUGUGAAGUUUCAUUUUGUGUUGAAUAUCUUG
rnacentral:lncRNA from 10 species